GGGUUUGAGGGUGGUCCUGCUGAGACACCAGGCACCCAUCGAUUGCCUGGGUUGAUUUUGCUGACCUAACCAGCGGGCUAGGUGGCUGGCUUCCCUCCUCCCCACUCCACACAUGUUCUUCCUGGUGCUGCACACCAAGUCAGAGAGAAGGGGAGCCUUCCUGGGUAGAGCAUCAUUCUUUAGCCAAAGGGGUGUGAUGACUUUGUCUGCUAUCUGGCAUUCUAAGCAAAUAUAGUGCUCUGGUUAAUCUUAUUGGAGUAACUAAAAUACUGAACAUGAAUAUUAUAAUUUUUCAAAUAAACCACAUCAUAGUAAAAUGAAAUGAGUACGAGGCAAUCUUUUUUU
rnacentral:sRNA from 1 species